rnacentral:rRNA from 1 species
GUGGAAAGUUUUUUCGGCUGGGGAUGGGCCCGCGGCCUAUCAGCUUGUUGGUGGGGUGAUGGCCUACCAAGGCGGCGACGGGUAGCCGGCCUGAGAGGGCGACCGGCCACACUGGGACUGAGACACGGCCCAGACUCCUACGGGAGGCAGCAGUGGGGAAUAUUGCGCAAUGGGCGGAAGCCUGACGCAGCGACGCCGCGUGGGGGAUGACGGCCUUCGGGUUGUAAACCUCUUUCGACCGGGACGAAGAGUGAUUGACGGUACCGGUAGAAGAAGCACCGGCCAACUACGUGCCAGCAGCCGCGGUAAUACGUAGGGUGCGAGCGUUGUCCGGAAUUAUUGGGCGUAAAGAGCUCGUAGGCGGUGUGUCGCGUCGAUCGUGAAAACUUUCAGCUUAACUGGGAGCUUGCGGUCGAUACGGGCAUCACUGGAGUUCGGCAGGGGAGACUGGAAUUCAAGGUGUAGCGGUGAAAUGCGCAGAUAUCUUGAGGAACACCGGUGGCGAAGGCGGGUCUCUGGGCCGAUACUGACGCUGAGGAGCGAAAGCGUGGGGAGCGAACAGGAUUAGAUACCCUGGUAGUCCACGCCGUAAACGGUGGGCGCUAGGUGUGGGGGCCAUUCCACGGUCUCUGU